UUACCUUUUUACAUUAUAAAUACUACUGUUUUCAAAAGCCACGAUGCAAAAUUGUUGGAGAGGUUUAAGCAAAUAGUCCAAUCUUUGGCAGACUUACUUUGAACUAAACCAGACUGGACACUGUACAUAAAAUAGUAAUAGUACAAACUGCAAAUGUUUGUUUAGUGAAUCAGCAGCAGUGAUGACACUCAGAUUCCUGGAUCUCACCCUUUUAUUAAUUAAUCUGCUUUUCCAAAGGUCCCACAAGCAUUUCCUCCACCAGGAACACCUUUUUCCAACUUCCAUUCUUAGAUAAAAAAUUGCCACUUGACUUUUUGCUCAGAUGGAAAAAGGGAGAGUGGUUUUGGUCGGCCACGGGAGAGUGUUCCAGCUUCAAGGGUAUUCCCUGAACUCAAACUGAAAGCUGUGCUCUCCAGCCUGAACCUCGGCCAUGAGGACUUCCGCCUGCGUUAGCCACCCCAUUGAGUCUUUUGAAGGAGCUGAGGAGACGAUUCAGCAGCUGACUACUAGGACUUUCAUUGAUGAUCCUCUGCAUUUGGGUGGAAGAGGAUGAACUGGGCCCCAGCAAGGAUGGGAGUCUCUGAAUCUUCAGCCUGAAUGCCAGGAAAUUACUCAUAAACUGAACUAUUUCUGCAGAGAUUACCUUCUCUUGUGGCAUUUUAAAAAUUGAGUUCUGAGCAUGUAGGAAAUGACAUGUUUUGCAUCCAGACAUGAAGAACAUAUUUUAUAUCUUUGACUAGAACAACAUUUUGAACUUUAAAUGUAAAGCCCUGGCAUGCAUUCAGCCAUGGAAAAUCUGAUUUCUUUCCCUUCCUUUAGAUGCUUGUAAUUUUAAUUGCUAUAGUUUUUUUAAAUGACCAUGCCCACUAACACCAAAAUACACAGUGCAGACAAAUAAUACAGAUGCAUGGCUACAAAUUCCUCAUACACUCGUACUGUACAUAUGCCCCCAGCACUACCUACCAUCACGCUUUGUAAGUAUUCAAGCCUGCCCACCAAAAAGCACAAUAAUCUGCUGAUGCAGUUACUUUUGUUCUUCUAAGAAAAUUGUUAACAACUAUCAUAUCCUCUAUCUGGCUACCAAUAUUGGUAAUCCAGUAAAAGCUCCUUGACCUCUUGAAUUGGAAGGUAAAUCAAACAUGCGUGUCCCUCAGGAUGCUGGCAAACAUUCUGCUUGCGACUAGCAAAGAAAGUGACUUCUUCAUCUGAAUUGCUUUUCUUCCUUGUACAACUGAAGAAACCCCAGCAGUUUUCCCUGUGAAGAAGAGGCUUUGCAUUUACACAGGUAACCACAGAUAAGUCCUUCUCAAAACUAGAGCUAAAGACUUGACUGUGAUCAUGCUCCCUGUGUCUUUGGUGUCCUGCAAUCUUUCUCGUGCUGAAGCAGAACUUUUGAUCCCAUAAAAAUACCGUAGAAGGAAGGCCUCCAGCACAAAUUGAUGAUCUGGUGAAGGAUACCAUCAGCGCUCUGCUGGAAAUUAGCACUGUCUACUGCCUCCUCCUCACUGUGCUGCCACUGACAUCUAUAGCCCUGCCAGUACCUUCUGUUAUUAAAUAUUAAAUAUUCCCAAUGAGAUGGGUGAUAAGGAAAUGAUAAAAUUAGAAAUAUGGCUAAAUCUUAAGUAAGACAACAUGAUUUGUUUCAAGAGGAAGCACUACAUUUUAACAUGAUUUCUGCCUUGCACAGUUGAGGGAGCCUUUAAAAGCUAUAUUGACAUUUCUUAGAGAUAUUAUGAGUUUAGGUUUGGAAAUGCAGAUACACAAAAUUGUAUUUCUUCCUGGAAAAAUAUGCCCAGAGAAGUAGGCUGUUCUUAACUGAAUGACGUUUUCAGUAUUUGCAGCACCUCCCCCCACAGUAUUUGCUUAACAUUGCAAUUAAUGUUCCACAUUUUUCUUUACCAGAAAACGCUGAGCAAUGCUAGAGUGGGUCUGUGUUGAUCACGGAUGCUGUAAACACGGCAAGUCACUCCUAGACAGCAAAAUCCAAACUCUGACAGGCCCACAUUUGAUAAACAGUGGCAUUAUCAUAAUCUUCAACAACUGCAUUGUUUAUUUAGAAAGUCUUCCUCAAUCCCUUAACAAAUUAGUCUGGAAGCCACUGGGGGGAUUAACUUCAGAAAUUCUCCCUCAGAUUGCAAUUAGAUCUGCUCAGAUAUCAUGAGCGAUAGACAUUUGCAUAAGUCCUACCCAGCCUUUAUUACUAAUUGCAUUUGCAGUGAUAUGACUACCACUGGGGUCUAUCUUUUCCAACUGAGUUACAAAAUGCAGCACUCUGCAGCGGCAACCAUGCCCUGGUGAAAGAGGUGCACCCGGCAGAGGGUGUAACACCUAAUACCUAAGAAUGUAAUUGCCAACCACUUUUCCUGACCAUUUAGAUUAAGAAGUAAGUGACACUGGAUGGUGUCCUGGAUACUUUCAGGGCAAAGUCUUUCACCUUGGGUCCAGUGACUAAAAGUUAUGCCUAGCUGGUGGCAGCUAGCUGGCUUUUCUCCAAGGAGCUGGCAAUCCCUAUUCAGCUGCAGGCAUGUGCCUGCCUCAUAAAUCACCCGCGGUGCUGGCAGCCUUGUUGGCAGGUUCGGCAGGGAGACUGAGAGCUGAGCAAACAAGGCUUUCGUGCUGAAACGGGAGCCUCCCGCCCGAGGGACAGUGUGGCGGUGGGGUGGCAUGGCGAAGCUGAGCAGCAGCGCAAUGUUCCUGUUCACUUGUUGAUCCUUGGGGGACAGGGCACCAUGGACUCUGCACUUCUAACAAGAGUUAGUCCCCUUUAUAGAAGAGAAAGCAGUAACCCAUGUCCUCAGAGUCUUUUGACACAGCUGUCACAAUGAUUUUUACUAAAAUAUUGGUAUCUGCCUUUUUUCCCCCCAAAGGCAAAGGGGCAAGAUCAAUUAUUGUCCCUGAAUAAAGAAUAAUUAUAUUUCCAUGACAGGUGAAUUUGCCAUCAUCAGAGAGGGUCUGUGUUUUCAGAAGGAACAAGAUAACCUAUCUGUCAGCUCCACAGGCACCCGGUGUGGGGGCACGUGUGCUGUAGCCAGCAGGGCUUGUGCUCAUCUCCAUAGCAGACUGUCAGAGGUUGCUGUAUUUCAACCCACCCUUUUCAAAACAAAGUGCUACAUUAACCUCUCCAACACAGACGAGCACCACUCCCACUGCCUGCAACUGCCCGCAAUGCUUGUGCUUAUACAAGGAGUUUGGAUUAAAGGGCAGGUCCUGCCUGUCCACAGCAGGGGAAUGCAAAUGGCCACUGAGCUUCCAGGUCCCCAUGAGUGCAUCAGCAUGCAGCCCUGUAGGUCUUGACUUUUUGGGUACAGCUGUGUCACCUCACCACAGCCUGGUGGCUGGAUGAAAUGUGGUCCCAGGCAGCUUUUGGGUGGGAAAACAGGUAGACUUGAGUUGUCAAAAGGGAAGCUUUGUAUCCUUAAGUCCUUCAGAAGUGUUCUGCCUCUGGCCAUUGCUAGGCAGUUGUGUGACACGGGUUCCCAGAAUCAAAACAGAGGCUCUAGUAAAACAAAGGCAGUGAUGAAUGUUAGAGAUUUGCUAUAAAGAUAUUCCUAAAGAUAAUUCUGCUAAUGAGUUGCAGGCAUAACACAUGUAGGAGAAUGAGAAAAUGCAGGCGUUGUACAAGACUGAACCUGAGAGCUUAUGUACACCACACGGUCAGCUGAAGCAAGUGCUCUGUAUGAGCAAGGCACGCUCCAGUGAGACACAUCACGUGUCUAAGGUAAAUUUGUGCCAUCCUUGCUGCAGUGUGCAACUGUCCCCUCCACAUCUGCUGGUGGGCCCUGGUGGCUACUGCGCACUGCCUGCUCCCACCACCUCUGCAGCUGCCCCGCGAGACUGCUGCUUCCCCGCUUACAUCUCCCUUGGGAGCUCACUGGGUUCGUUGGGCUUUCUGUCAAGUCUGUACAUUUACUCACCCUUUUCCUUCUGCUAGACCAGAGGCUGCCAUUGGACUGGAGAUCUGGAGGGCACCUCUGCAGAAAAGCCUUGCAAGCAAAGAAACUGGCUCGAUUCUUCUGCUUCAUUUAGAAGACAGGGACUCUCCCCCCCAUCAAAAAAAACCCAACAAACCCAAAACCCAAGAACCUUCCCUUUACAUCUCCAACUUUGCCAGGUAAAUGUUGCAAUUUUUAUCUCAAGCCUUUGGUCCUGUCCAUUAUGGAAAGCCUUUAUCCUGAAGCUGCUGAACACCAAGCCUGUUGUAAAGUGCUUCUCAUUUCUUGCUUAGUGUCAUGGUUUAACCCCUGUGGGCAGCUAAGUCCCACACAGUUGCUCACUCACUGCCCCACAGUGGGAUGGCGGAGAGAAUCAGAAGGGUAAAAGUAAGAAAACUCCUGGAUUGAGAUAAAGACAGUUUAACAGGUAAAGCAAAAACCGCGCAUGCAAGCAAAGCAAAACAAGGAAUUCAUUCACUCCUUCCCAUGGGCAGGCAGGUGUUCAGCCACCUCCAGGAAAGCAGGGCUCCAUCACACACAACGGUGACUUGGGAAGACAAACACCAUAACUCUGAAUGUCUCUCCCUUCCUCUUUCUUCCCCAGAGCUUUUAUUGCUGAGCAUGACAUCAUACGGUGUGGAAUAUGACUUUGGUCAGUUGGGGUCAGCUGUCCCAGCUACGCCCUCUCCCAACUUCUUAUGCCCCCCCAGCCUACUCACUAGCAGGGCAGUGUGAGGAGCAGAAAAGGCCUUGACACUGUGUAAGCACUGCUCAGCAUUAGCUAAAACAUCCCUCUGUUAUCACUGCUGUUUUCGUCACAGAUCCAAAACACAGCCCCAUACCAGCUACUAUGAAAAAAAUUAACUCUACCUCAGCCAAAACCAGCACACUUGGACAUGACAAAAAAUGCACAUGGAGGUGGACAGUGUGCGUGGAGUGACGGUGGGUGGUUUGGAACAGACCUGCCAAUGCUUUUUGUUUUAUUUUAACAGUAAGAGCAUUGACAAAUACUGUCUUCCAAGAGGUAUACUCUCAACUUAUGCCACUUCAGACAUUUAUAUUUCCAGAGCUCCCAUACUACAUUUCUGACCAACAAAUUGCCUGACUACAUAAACAUCAGCAAAUGAAGCCCUGACCUCGCCUGGGGCUGCUUUUUUCUUCCUGUCUUUUCCUCCCUGACUCUGUCCUUCCUUCCACUUCAUUCUCCAAGUCCCAGGCAAGUGCAGAUGGGAUUUGUUGCUCUGUUGCAACCUGCUUCAUCCCAAGCCUACCUGAGCUGGCAGCAGUCCCAACUCCACAUCACCUCCAAGACCCUCUGCUGCCCCCAGCUCUGUCCAGAGCCCAGCAGCCAGGGAGGGCGCACAAACUCUGUGCAGCAGUGCUGAAGAGCUCUCACUGAGACUGCACUGCGAACAAACGGGGCUCACUGAGGCCUCCCCAGAAAUAGGGCUGGUCGGUUUUCGCCCAGAGGUACACCACUUCCCAGCAGGGAUGGUCAGUCUGUGACACACGGUAUGGAGGACUUGUGGAUGCAGACUCAAAAAGGUAAGUUCUGCUGGUGCCACAGCACAGUUGUACAGUCACAGUUAAAUAACCCUUUGGGAUCAGCUUUGGCCAAGGAACCCACGGGCAAAGGAGAAAGCUGCCCUCCCGCCCACUCGCCUGCUGGCUGAGCAAGCACAAGGGGAGAGCUGCAGCAUGCACCCAAGGUACGGAAAAUCAAUUACAGUGCGGGUCCUGGCACUGAAACAGAGGGUGUUUUGGCACCUGGAAACAGCUUUCAGCCAGUGAGUGAGGGAUAGAUCCUCCCUGGGAAGGAAAGGUACUGGCAAAUUCUAGUGUGCAAGUGGGCUGAGCGCUAAAUCUCUACAGCAUUAGCUCAGACUUCAGCAAUACUCAAGCUCCAGCUUGCCCCAGAUGAAGGCCAGCUAACUCAAGAGAAACCAUUGUUUACCACAGGCAGGCGAUUUUCGAAAGCAUAUGUGAGUCUGAUUUAGAGCAAUGUACCUCCUGUGCUUUGAAUUCACAGUGCACUGAAGAUCAGCUCUAAGCAGACCUCAUUUCUUUUAAGUUUAUCUCUAACUGAAGAAUUUGCCUGUUUUCUCUGGCAGCUGUCUUCAGGCUAAACGCAGGUCUGGGCUCUGCUGGGUGGGAAGCGCACAGGUAUGGAAAGCAGCAGGUAACUGCUAACUGCAACCUCUGUGAAAGGGUGGGCUACUCCUAAGACAGGCAAGCAUCUGAAACGACACCCGUGGCACUCUUCAGCAUAAAGAAAUGCAAGGAAGGAGUAAAAGAACAGCGGCUUACUAUCACUUAUAAAAUAUGAGAAGAAAACUUAGCCCAGGUAUGGAAAAAGGAUAAUGUUUGUCCUGACUAUCUCAUCCUAGGAGCCUACAGGCUCAAGUAACCAGUACAGCUGAGAUACUCUUUGAGGCACCCAUCGUUUUACACCUCCUGACCAUGGAAGAGGAUCCCAUGCACACGCAUUGCCCAGUCUUACAGUCGUUACUUCUGUGAGUCAUUCCAAAUCCAAUACAGAGCCAACACUUCCUUAGUACAACAUCCAUCUGCUUCCCUUAGGCACUUCCACUGAAACCAAGUGUGUCAACUGUUACCAGGGGAGGAAGCAUCCAUUUCCAUCACUACACAGUAAACGAAACGACAUUGCUUCCCUUUCUCCUGAUAAAACCUGUUUCGUUACUGCAGCAAUUUACAGUGAUGUACAUACCAGGAUUUGUAAGACAGCAUCGAAUACUUGAGCUGAUAGAGAACUGGUUUGAUGCUUCUCUGCAAAUGCAGUGGCACAAAGUCAGCUCUGGACUCACCUCUUGCCAAUGAGCCUCCAGUGUUUGUCCCCAAGUGGCAGGGGACCCUCAUGAUAAGGAGUUAGUUAUAAAACAACAUUUUUCAACAACGCUGAAGAUAAAUAUUGCCAAGCACAUUGCUUCUGAGCUGAGUACAGAAAAUAAUUUACAAGAGUCAUUUCUACACUCCUUAUUUCCAAACUGACUUUGUGCAGGGUGGCAGCAUCACCAGGAUGCCACAGAACUGUGUACCACUUUAAGGAAACAGCUGCUGCAGAAGUUUCCCACCAGAGUGCCCCCUCCCCGCACCCAAGUCACCCAUUUUUGGUGUCCACAUUCCAGUGAGAGCCAAAUAUCAUCCACAGAGCUGCAGGUGCCAAAAACCACUCAACCUUUGCUCGUAUCUGACCAUGAUCAACUUGGAUUGCAGCAACAGCUUUCAGAGCUGUGAAAACUCAUCUACAAAAAACUUGCUUUGGACUGAAGCGAUUUAGAUUAUGUAUCAAAGCCUGCUAGUCAUUCUCCUCAAAAACUGAAGAUGAAAAACUAACCUCAGCUGUGAUGAAAUCUAAUACUCCUAUGUGAAUUACAGCAUUAUCUGAAAGCUCCAAAGAAGACCUGCCCCUUUUUUUUCUUGCUAGAUACUGUACGAAUGGGGAAAGAAGGAAACAACCUGAAGAGUUUCUACCUUAGUUUUUAAAAAGAUACUUUAAAGAAGCUUAACAAAAAAAGGAACUGGGAAAGAAGGAUGAAGCUAAGAGAGUACCUGACCCCAAACGCUUGCUCUGAGCACAACAGGAAAAUUUUAGAUUGGUAUUUAUUUGAACCUGCACCACAGGUUCAAUGUCUCACAUUUCCAAGGCAGGAGGAAAGGGUCCAGCUCGAAGAAGCCUGUCACCGCCCGAGGACACAGUGGUGGGUAGGAAGAGGACAGGCACAGCUGUAAUAACCCCAGUAGCCGGACAAGCAGCCUGGCAGCACUCAGCUGUAGAGGGGUGAAUAAUAAGAGAAGUUUUAAAAGUCUGUAUGGGUUUUGCUGUGCAAAAAAAGCACAGAAGUGACACAGGAAGGCACUGAUGAAUGGACAGGCAAAAGAGAUUGUAUCUAUAAAAUAAAGAAAACCUGCUGAUGGAGCAGAAGGCAGAUUGAGGGAGAUGAAACUCAACAUAAGUGAGGGGUAAGAAAGAGAAGGUAUAAACACCACUGUAAGGGUUUUUUAAUGCGGGCAGACAAUGAAUACUCUACGGGUAUCUGUAACGACGGGUUACCCAUCUUCCAUGGACCGCACUGGGAAGAGAUGUCUGAAAAGGAGCAAAGACCAGAAGCUCCCUGGGCAAGCAGCUGAGCAGAAGAAGGGGCAAGGAGCCCUGUGGGGGUGCUGGUGCAGGCAGACCCUGUGGCCCCCCUGCCAGGGAUAGAGUGAUGCUGCAGAAUGCCAGAGCAAGCUGGAGGGCAGAGGGAGGGAGGGGCUGGAGGUGGGGAUCAAAUGUGAGCUGGAGGCAGGAGGAGGGAGCUGGCUCAGGGGAGCUGUGCCUGCUCGGGGAGGCUGCAUGGUGUCUGAGCUGAGAAAAGGGGCUGAAGUAGUGAUGGGACGAGGACCUGACGCUGUGCGGAAGGAUUUUGGAAAGAGUGGAAGGAUGCAAUACCUGCAAAAUAAUAUGAGUGCAUAAUUUAAGCAAACUCAUGAGUUUUGGGUACUCUGUUAUUCAAACACGUCUUAGCUGAGUCAAGUUUAGACACAGUAUCCCAUUUAUCUUGGCAUAACCCAAAUCCCUAAAUUAUCUGCCUUUUCAGCCUCCUCACAGGAACUUUUCUUCCAGAUUUUUUAAAACACGAAGUAGCCAAGGAACUGCUUUACAAACAAAUACCAGCCGAGGCGAAGGCUUAACCCUGCUGGAAGGUGCGGCGGGCAGCCCUGCCUCCGGCUGCUGCUGUCCUGCAGUGUCUGCUCUUCUUUCAGCUGGUGCAACAUAUGCAAUUCUCAGACAUGCUGAAAAGCCCCGAGAGCAUGCUAAAUACAUAUAUGUUAGCAUAUCCUACUUGUGGUAUUUACUCAAUAUUGUGAGCUCCCCUCUGCCAGCCUAAAUGUAACCAUUCUAGAAUAAAUAUGGUGUAGACUGGGGUUAUCCUGUGCAGAGACAGGAGUUGGGCUCAGUGAUCCUUGUGGGUCCCUUCCAACUCAGGACACUGAUUCUGUGAUGCUAUGAAAUACCGCUAAAGGGAAGGUGAUGACCUCAGUCUCUAACACAGACAGCAAAGGGCAAAGUGCUGCUCUCCACACAGUGACCCUGCUUUUCAUCACUUUUACGUUAUGUGAGUGCAAAGGCAAUGAUGUCGGUGGUGUUCCCUGGCAUGGCCCCUCUGCUCUCCCUCUCUCCCAUAAAUUUCCUCCUGUGCAGUGGGGACUGGCUCGUUCCCCUUUGAAAAACUGGGGCAGAAGAAGAAAAUGAUGACAGGGUGCAUGUGCUAACGAUAGGAAAACACCAGCUGCUAACAUGGCUCACCCACCAGUUUGCUUGAACAGCAGCAAGCCCUGAGAAUGAGUCAAGGGUUUAUUUUUAAACAUCAGUGUCAGAUCUCUUUGCCAUUUAAAGAGCAUCCUGGGGGGCUGCCCGGGCCCCUCAUCUGCUCUGCAGCACUUCAGCAAGCCACUCCAGUGGCUGUCCCCAUGGCUGUGCCCUCCCCUCCUUGUCCACUGAGGAGCUUGAAAGCUGGAGUGUCCCUCUGCUGCCUCAGCAAGUGCCAAUUACUCUGCUAAAGGGAAUCACUAAGAAAUAUGCAGACUAUGGAAACAUGGCAUGUUGCAGUUCGUAAGCAAGAGCCGCACAGUGUCCACAGAUGCAUGCAUGGCGACACACCAAGUUUCACUUCUAUUUCUCUGU